CUGAUAGCCCUGGCGAGCAACAUUUUCUAUUUAUCUGCACAACAGGUAUGGCAUGGGCAGCAGCAGUGUUGCCUCCUGCCCGCGGUUCCCAUCCAAGCCUCCUCAGUCCUGCGAGGGACCACCUAGAAGUGGUCAGGAGCUAUUUCCGUGUGGUUCGUCUGUGUCCACCCUGUUGUGCUACA
rnacentral:sRNA from 1 species